AACGAACGCUGGCGGCGUGCUUAACACAUGCAAGUGGUGCGACGAACCAGGGCUUGCCCUGGGGCCAAGCCGCGAACGGGUGAGUAACACGUGAGUAACCUGCCCCGAUGACCGGGACAACCCGAGGAAACUCGGGCUAAUACCGGAUGUGGCGCACAGGCGUAAGCCUGUUCGCUAAAGGAAGCUUCGGCCUCCGCAUUGGGAGGGGCUCGCGGCCCAUCAGCUAGUUGGUGAGGUAAAGGCGCACCAAGGCAACGAGGGGUAGCUGGUGUGGGAGGACGAUCAGCCACACUGGGACUGAGAAACGGACCAGACUCCUACGGGAGGCAGCAGUGGGGAAGCUUGCGCAAUGCGCGAAAGCGUGACGCAGCAACGCCGCGUGGGGGAAGAAGGCCUUCGUGUUGUAAACCCCUUUCAGGGGGGACGAAGCCACGGCGGUUAACAGCCGACCGUGGUGACGGUACCUCCACAAGAAGCCCCGGCUAACUACGUGCCAGCCGCCGCCGUAACAC
rnacentral:rRNA from 1 species